GCGUAGGUAUCUGCCUAGUAGUGGGGGACAACCUGGUGAAAACCAGGCUAAUACCGCAUACGCCCUACGGGGAAAGAAGGCCUCUUCUUGAAAGCUUUCACUAUUAGAUGAGCCUGCGUCGGAUUAGCUAGUUGGUAAGGUAACGGCUUACCAAGGCAACGAUCCGUAGCUGGUUUGAGAGAACGACCAGCCACAUUGGGACUGAGACACGGCCCAGACUCCUACGGGAGGCAGCAGUGGGGAAUAUUGGACAAUGGGGGCAACCCUGAUCCAGCAAUACCGCGUGUGUGAAGAAGGCCC
rnacentral:rRNA from 1 species